rnacentral:tmRNA from 1 species
AUCCUUUCACAAGGUGAGAGGACGAGACAUCUCGCGGAUGGAGACUCCCGAUUCCGGUCCGACAACGAGGUGCUCAGCAAUUUCGGGAUAGCGACGCGGAAGCUCUGGCAACGUCGUGAAACUCAAGGAGAUAAGGUUGCGAUUAGGAUGUCUGUUUCCUUGCACAGCUCGAAAACCAACAACAGAAUAAGUAUGUAGAAAGCAUGAUUGUUCCUUGUUUGGACGAGGGUUCGACUCCCUCCAGCUCCACGA